UACGUAGGGUGCAAGCGUUAUCCGGAAUUACUGGGCGUAAAGAGUGCGUAGGCGGUUCGGCAAGUGAGGUGUGAAAUCCCAGGGCUUAACCUUGGAACUGCACUUCUAACUACCGGGCUAGAGUACGGCAGAGGGGGGUAGAAUUCCAUGUGUAGCAGUGAAAUGCGUAGAGAUGUGGAGGAAUACCGAUGGCGAAGGCAGCCCCCUGGGAUGAUACUGACGCUCAUGCACGAAAGCGUGGGGAGCAAACAGG
rnacentral:rRNA from 1 species